AUUGAACGCUGGCGGAAUGCUUUACACAUGCAAGUCGAACGGCAGCACGGGUGCUUGCACCUGGUGGCGAGUGGCGAACGGGUGAGUAAUGCACCGGCACGUAUCCAAUAAUGGGGGAUAACGCACCGAAAGGUGUGCUAAUACCGCAUACGCCCUGAGGGGGAAAGCGGGGGAUCGUAAGACCUCGCGUUAAUGGAGCGGCCGAUGCCGGAUUAGCUCGUUGGUGGGGGAAAGGCCUACCAAGGCGACGAUCCGUUGCUGGUCUGAGAGGACGACCAGCCACACUGGAACUGAGACACGGUCCAGACUCCUACGGGAGGCAGCAGUGGGGAAUUGUGGACAAUGGGCGAAAGCCUGGUCCAGCAAUGCCGCGUGCAGGAAGAAGGCCUUCGGGUUGUAAACUGCUUUUGUACGGAGCGAAAAGGCUCUCUCUAAUACAGGGGGCUCAUGACGGUACCGUAAGAAUAAGCACCGGCUAACUACGUGCCAGCCGCCGCAGUAACAC
rnacentral:rRNA from 1 species